rnacentral:rRNA from 1 species
AUUGAACGCUGGCGGCAUGCCUUACACAUGCAAGUCGAACGGCAGCACGGGAGCAAUCCUGGUGGCGAGUGGCGAACGGGUGAGUAAAGUAUCGGAACGUGCCCAGUCGUGGGGGAUAACGUAGCGAAAGUUACGCUAAUACCGCAUACGACCUAUGGAUGAAAGCGGGGGAUCGCAAGACCUCGCGCGAUUGGAGCGGCCGAUAUCAGAUUAGGUAGUUGGUGGGGUAAAGGCCCACCAAGCCGACGAUCUGUAGCUGGUCUGAGAGGACGACCAGCCACACUGGGACUGAGACACGGCCCAGACUCCUACGGGAGGCAGCAGUGGGGAAUUUUGGACAAUGGGCGAAAGCCUGAUCCAGCCAUGCCGCGUGCAGGAUGAAGGCCUUCGGGUUGUAAACUGCUUUUGUACGGAACGAAAAGGUUUGGCCUAAUAAGCUGAGCUCUUGACGGUACCGUAAGAAUAAGCACCGGCUAACUACGUGCCAGCCGCCGCCGUAA